AUAGCUUCUCAGCCUUUUGGCUAAGAUCAUAUGUAGUAUCUAUUUUUAUCAGUUUAAUAUCUGAUACGUCCGCUAUCCGAGGACAAUAUAUUAAAUGGAUUUGGGGAGCUUGGAGUUGGAAUAGAAGCUUACUCCGUCCACUCCAUGCAUCCACCUGGUAUUGCAGUGCACCCCCUCAGAGGAGUAAAAAAA